AACGAACACUGGCGGCAGGCUUAACACAUGCAAGUCGAACGCGUGUAGCAAUACACGAGUGGCGCACGGGUGAGUAACGCGUGGAUAUCUGCCUUUUGGUUCGGAAUAACUCCGGGAAACUGGAGCUAAUACCGGAUGGUUCCUACGGGAUAAAGAUUUAUCGCCAAAAGAUGAGUCCGCGUACGAUUAGCUAGUUGGUGAGGUAAUGGCUCACCAAGGCGACGAUCGUUAGCUGGUCUGAGAGGACGAUCAGCCACACUGGGACUGAGACACGGCCCAGACUCCUACGGGAGGCAGCAGUGGGGAAUAUUGGACAAUGGGGGCAACCCUGAUCCAGCCAUGCCGCGUGAGUGAUGAAGGCCUUCGGUUGUAAGACUCUUUGUCGGGGACGAUGAUGACGGUACCCG
rnacentral:rRNA from 1 species